rnacentral:lncRNA from 1 species
CUCAUUAGCCCCGGCCUGGGGCCUCUAGUUCAGUGUUCAGGUUCAACGUUCAACAGCCCCCACGGCUUCCUCUAAUGCCUGUCUGAGUUGGACACCAGGGCCCCAGAAGGAACUUGGGCACAGUCUGGUUGAGGAGGCAGGACAGACACAGACAACUGCAGUUCUAAAGGGAGUGCAGUUGGCCUGUGGAUUCGACAACUAACAUGUAUGAGGCCAACGGUCAGUUCAUGUUUUGUGGACAGCAACCCUUUGACAGGGCCAUGGGAGUGCCCCUCUUAGAGCUGAGGAGACUGAGGCUCAG